rnacentral:lncRNA from 1 species
CCCCCACAGUGACCCCUCUGCUAGGAGCCUUUCCUAGGGACCACACCUCUUUGGCAUUGGUCCAAAAUGGUGAUAUUUCUGCCCCCUCUGCCAUACUUAGAACACCAGAAAGCACAAAACCUGGUCCUGUCUGUCAGCCACCAGUGAGUCAGAACCUGUUCUCUGUCCCAUCCAAGCCACCGGUGUCUCUGGAGCCUCAAAAUGGGACAUACGCAGGACCAGCGCCAGCAUUCCAGCCAUUUUUCUUCACCGGAGCAUUUCCAUUUAAUAUGCAAGAGGUGGUACUCAAGGUGAGGAUUCAGAACCCAUCUCUUCGUGAAAAUG